rnacentral:hammerhead_ribozyme from 1 species
AUGUAGGUGACGAGUCUAGAAUAGGACGAAACGUGCGUCAAAUUGCAU